rnacentral:rRNA from 1 species
UACAGAGGGUGCGAGCGUUGUCCGGAAUCACUGGGCGUAAAGGGCGCGUAGGUGGCGCGACAAGUCAGUGGUGAAAGCUCGACGCUCAACGUCGAGUCGGCCACUGAUACUGUUGGGCUUGAGCACUGUAGAGGCUAAUGGAAUUCCGGGUGUAGCGGUGGAAUGCGUAGAGAUCCGGAAGAACACCGGUGGCGAAGGCGGUUCUCUGGGCAUGUCCUGACGCUGAGGAGCGAAAGUGUGGGGAGCGAACAGG